rnacentral:rRNA from 1 species
AUUGAACGCUGGCGGCAGGCCUAACACAUGCAAGUCGAACGGUAACAGGAAACAGCUUGCUGUUUCGCUGACGAGUGGCGGACGGGUGAGUAAUGUCUGGGAAACUGCCUGAUGGAGGGGGAUAACUACUGGAAACGGUAGCUAAUACCGCAUAACGUCGCAAGACCAAAGAGGGGGACCUUCGGGCCUCUUGCCAUCGGAUGUGCCCAGAUGGGAUUAGCUAGUAGGUGGGGUAACGGCUCACCUAGGCGACGAUCCCUAGCUGGUCUGAGAGGAUGACCAGCCACACUGGAACUGAGACACGGUCCAGACUCCUACGGGAGGCAGCAGUGGGGAAUAUUGCACAAAGGGCGCAAGCCUGAUGCAGCCAUGCCGCGUGUAUGAAGAAGGCCUUCGGGUUGUAAAGUACUUUCAGCGGGGAGGAAGGGAGUAAAGUUAAUACCUUUACUCAUUGACGUUACCCGCAGAAGAAGCACCGGCUAACUCCGUG